rnacentral:lncRNA from 1 species
GAAUGGCCAAGACCAUUGUGUAAAAGGGGAGGAGUUGUGGUUUGUAUGACUAACAAUGUAGGCAGAGGAAGGUUGAGACCGGAUUGUCAUAGGUAACAGUAAUGCCUCUGGCUCGGAUGUACAUGCAUGGACGUGCGCAUCGUACCCCCUGGUUUAGCACCUCAUGAAAUACUCACAGAAAGACCCAUGGGAAUCCUAAACACCCCGUUCCCACAGAACAGUUUGACACUGACGGGUUGCGAGGAUCAAAUGCUAAGUCCCCUCCUGUUCCAUGGUUUAACAAGCGAUGACCACUCUACUUCCAUUGUCAACUAACUCCUCACAUGAACUGGAAGCCACGUCUCAUGUGGCCCACUCAACCACUGGCACAUUGAAUGUUUCCUCUCCAAGCACGUCAAACCCUGCCCUGCACUGGUCAAGCCUCUGAACACCUCAACUCAUGCCUCAUACCCUCAUUCAAUCACUGCUGUGAUCCCUUCCCAAAAUGGUAAGCCUGAUUCUACUCACUGUGGUAGUGUGGAAGUGUUGAGCUGUAUUAUUUGGCCUGUGGUCCUGUUGUCCCCAGUCCCAGUGGUGAAGAUAAUGUCUUAAUUGAGCUUCUUGUCUGUGACUGAGAUACGUAAUCUGCACAUUUACUAAAACGUCAGCUCUCAUCUCUCCCAAUGUUCUCAAUGUCAAACAAUGAAGGCCGGGUAGUUUUUUUUCAUGAUUGCAACCCAGGUCAUUUUAGUCGGCUGGACCUCGCUACAUAUUCGUCGCCAGACCCACUGGCUCCAGGUCAUCUACAAGUCUAUGCUAGGCAGCCUGGGAAAGAACUGAAAAAACUCACUAAAGAGUCAAGACAGAGACACCAGAAAGACCCAAGAAGACUUGGACGCAGCAUCAGAGGACAGAGAGGGAUGUUCAGAACUCACUCAGUCUGGUUAGAAGAGAAUGACUCCUCAACCCAAGAGGCCCUGGAGCAGCUGUGAGAGAGCAGCAGUGUGGAAACAUUUGGGGAAAUUUAAGGAAGGUUUCCUGGUAAAGAGGAUUGACUGUUACGUAAAGGGUCAGAGCCACUGAGUGGACAAAAUAUUAAGGAUACCUUCCUAAUACUGAGUUACGCCUGGUCAGUUUGUCAUGGAAAGAAAGGUGUCCUUAAUGUUUUGUGUAAAUUACAUAAUAACUAUACAUUUAUGGAUUGAUUUAUAUAGCCUAUUGUUUUCUAUUUAUUCAACCUGCCAUCUACCCACCUGGGGACUGAGGGUUAUGAGAGAACCCCCACAUCACUAGCUUCUCUUUAUUCAACCUGCCAUCUACCCACCUGGGGACUGAGGGUUAUGAGAGAACCCCCAC